CAGGAAUGGGCUGGGGCGCGUUUGUAGUUGGGAAUCCUGAGCCCGGGCUGUUGCUUGGAGGACUCGGGAGCAGCAGUGGAUUUCGGCGUUACCAGGAGAGCUAUGUAUAGGAAUGCCGCUAUGGAAAGACAUCCAGGACACCUUGUUAAGUGAAAAAAGGUUCAGUAUCUGAACACUUUUGCUAAAGGUCUCUGGAAAGCUCCCUGUGUUAAUUCUCGAUGAGACUACGUCUGUGCCGGCCGCUUCCUGAGCCUCCUUCCAUGUGCAUAGGCCUGCUGCAUGCUGGAGACCUGCGGCACAGCUGCCAAGUGCCCCGUGUGGUUCUGUGAUCUUGGGACAGUCACUUCCUCUCUGUGGUUGUCAGUCUUCUCAUCCCUAAGAUGGAAUAAAAAGGCCUACCUCAUUGGGCUCGUGUGGGUGAGGAGAACUGAAGAGUCUGAGAGCGCGGCACGAGCCAGAGGCUACGGAAAACACUGCCCUCCUACACUCCACCUUGGAGAGACCCAGAAAAGAACAAGCUUCAUUUGUAAAAAAGGAAAACAACUCAGGCAAUGGGGGUGGCUUAAAGGCACUCUACAGUGUGCAGAUGCCUUCCACUUCUUCCAUCUGCCCUGUCUCUCCAAGAACCCCUAUGGCCCCGGUCUCAGAACAGAGCUGAGUGCAGAAAUGAAAAUCUAUGGCUCUGUGUUCCAAAACGAUGAAGAAUUUCAAGAUGGUGGCAGUGGUAAAAUCUUUCUCCAGGAAAAAUCUGUCCUUGGCCCAAUGUGUAAACACUUGCUGAGGAACUUGGAAUAACUUGCAGUGUCUUGCAGUAUUGUGAAACCAG
rnacentral:lncRNA from 1 species